AUGAACGCUAGCUACAGGCUUAACACAUGCAAGUCGCAGGGUAACAUGAGGAAAGCUUGCUUUCCUUGAUGACGACUGGCGCACGGGUGAGUAACGCGUAUCCAACCUUCCCAUAACUACGGGAUAACCCGUUGAAAGACGGCCUAAUACCGUAUGAUAUCGUUUGCUGACAUCAAAUAACGAUUAAAGGUUUAGCGGUUAUGGAUGGGGAUGCGUCUGAUUAGCUUGUUGGCGGGGUAACGGCCCACCAAGGCGACGAUCAGUAGGGGUUCUGAGAGGAAGGUCCCCCACAUUGGAACUGAGACACGGUCCAAACUCCUACGGGAGGCAGCAGUGAGGAAUAUUGGUCAAUGGGCGAGAGCCUGAACCAGCCAAGUAGCGUGCAGGACGACGGCCCUAUGGGUUGUAAACUGCUUUUAUGUGGGGAUAAAGUGCGUGACGUGUCAUGCAUUGCAGGUACCACAUGAAUAAGAACCGGCUAAUUCCGUG
rnacentral:rRNA from 1 species